rnacentral:rRNA from 1 species
UUGACCUCAAAUCAGGUAGGACUACCCGCUGAACUUAAGCAUAUCAAUAAGCGGAGGAAAAGAAACUAACAAGGAUUCCCCUAGUAACUGCGAGUGAAGCGGGAAAAGCUCAAAUUUGAAAUCUGGCAGUUGUUGACUGUCCGAGUUGUAAUCUAGAGAAGUGUUACCUGUGCUGGACCGUGUGCAAGUCUCCUGGAAUGGAGCGUCAUAGAGGGUGAGAAUCCCGUCUUUAACACGGACUACCAUGUACAUUAUGGUGCGCUCUCAAAGAGUCGAGUUGUUUGGGAAUGCAGCUCAAAAUGGGUGGUAAAUGCCAUCUAAAGCUAAAUAUUGGCGAGAGACCGAUAGCGAACAAGUACCGUGAGGGAAAGAUGAAAAGAACUUUGGAAAGAGAGUUAAACAGUACGUGAAAUUGCUGAAAGGGAAACGCUUGAAGUCAGUCGCGUUGGCUAGAAAUCAGCCUUGCUUUUGCUUGGUGUACUUUCUGGUUGAUGGGUCAGCAUCAAUUUUGAUCACUGGAUAAAGUCUUUGGGAAUGUGGCAUCUUUGGAUGUGUUAUAGCCCAUUGUCGCAUACAGUGGUUGGGAUUGAGGAACUCAGCACGCCGCAAGGCCAGGUUUCGACCAUGUUCGUGCUUAGGAUGCUGGCAUAAUGGCUUUAAUCGACCCGU